rnacentral:rRNA from 1 species
AUUGAACGCUGGCGGCAGGCCUAACACAUGCAAGUCGAGCGGAUGAAGGGAGCUUGCUCCUGGAUUCAGCGGCGGACGGGUGAGUAAUGCCUAGGAAUCUGCCUGGUAGUGGGGGAUAACGUCCGGAAACGGGCGCUAAUACCGCAUACGUCCUGAGGGAGAAAGAGGGGGAUCUUCGGAACUCACGCUCUCAGAUGAGCCUAGGUCGGAUUAGCUAGUUGGUGGGGUAAAGGCCUACCAAGGCGACGAUCCGUAACUGGUCUGAGAGGAUGAUCAGUCACACUGGAACUGAGACACGGUCCAGGCUCCUACGGGAGGCAGCAGUGGGGAAUAUUGGGCAAUGGGCGAAAGCCUGAUCCAGCCAUGCCGCGUGUGUGAAGAAGGUCUUCGGAUUGUAAAGCACUUUAAGUUGGGAGGAAGGGCAGUAAGUUAAUACCUUGCUGUUUUGACGUUACCAACAGAAUAAGCACCGGCUAACUUCGUG